CGCCGCAGGUGGGAUGGCCCAGUGGGUAGAGCACCAGACUCUUAAUCUCAGGGCCGUGGGUUCAAGCCUCCAGUUUGGCAA